rnacentral:lncRNA from 1 species
AUUUGCUUCAUGCCUUUAUAAAUGCAUGCACGUAGUUUCUUGAAUGUGAGCAUAAGCAAACAUCUGAUGCAUAAAUGUGUCAUUUCCCCGCGCACAUGAAAGCAUCGAGUCGACCUCAAAGGAAUCACCUUUUUAUCUGGCAUUAUGGCCAUAUCUUUGUACCUGAUAUGUCUGGUAGUGGAACAUUCUACCGGAUCUACUCAUUCGAUGCUCUUCUCCGCUCUCCUGCAAAGAUUUUGCAAUCUCCUUGUUUACCAGCCAUAGGCAUGUGAGGUGC